AAGAAAAUGACAGAGCGGUUAUGUGAUUGGCUUGAAACCAAUAGAUGGGGGUUCGACACCCUCUUUUCUCG
rnacentral:tRNA from 5 species